ACUAUACCUUUUAUCUAACGGUAUAAAGGGUUAUCUGAUAACCUUACUACUAAAUCAGUGUCACACAACCAAAACGGCGAAAUCAGGGGAAUUACGAAUAGAAUAUGAAACUGAUCAAUUUGGAAAUUCGUAUACCGGAAGGUUUAAAAAAUACUUAGUGGUAGACUACGUAACAUAUCAGAAUAUAGAAGGACGCUAAAUAAGUAAGGAAUGUCAAAUAGAGUUGCAACGUGAUAAUAGAAUAUGUCUGAUCCUGUGUCGAACGAAAUAUGGAAUAGCUUAAAGCAAAUUCCUAACCGGAGUCAUAUUAAAUAGAAUAUGUCCCGCCCAGGGCCGUACCAAAUAGUAUUGUCUUAAAGCUAAAUCGGCAUUUUCCAGACUAGCACAGCGUCUUUAAAAUCCAUUUAAUUUGGUUCAAAAUGGUAAGAAGCCACUAAGUAUGUAAAUUAACGUUAAAAUAAGACAAUGCCUUGUAUAAGGUCACCCAGUAAAUUCAUUUGUUUGUGUUAUGAAGCGUUACGUGAUAUUAUGUGGGAUUUCCAAAUAUGAAUAGACCGUUAAAUUAGUAAUGUGCAGAUGGGGAGCUAUUGAUAUUAGGACAUGAGGCAUACAAUAAUAAUGAUCAAAAUGAUUAGGACGUUUCUUUGUUUCAACUGUAUGAUUAUAUAUUUCCACUCAACAACAGCCCAGUUAUCUCAAACGGAAACGUUGAAGAAUAUAACAGAAUGCGAUCUCAAUGCCGGUAUUAGAUUAACCUGUGCAGGGGACGAGAUGAUUGCAAUACAUACCCUACAAUAUGCCUACAAUGUUAGUUGUGAAGGAAUAUGUUGUCACACCUAUGCAAGUAAUGACUGCUUUGUUAAUGCUGGUGAUACAGACAUUCAAGGCAUCCGUCGUGCCUGCUCAGGCAGGUCGUCCUGCAACGCACCAACCCCUCCAGACAAAAUAGCCUUCACUACCUGCUCAUUAGGUGUAAAUGACAUUUCGUAUAUAUUUCUACAAUACUUUUGCAUUCCAAAGGAAAGGAUAUCUUCCAUUUGUUCAAAUGGACAAACGCUUACGUCAGACGAUGCUCCACUCUAUCUGACAAAUGAGAAUUAUCCGAGUGUAACGACCGGAAGUGCAUCAUGUUCCUGUUCCCUUGAAGUACACUCCUGUUCUUCCAGCAUUAACAUGUACAUAAUGGACGCAGAUCUGUACUUAGAUACAAGUGCUUGCUAUCAGACCUUAGAAUUUCUAGAUGGAUGUAAUAAAACACUGUAUACCAUUGGUUCUGAAAGUCACGACUCAAAUCAAAUAGAAAGAAGCACAGCGAAUAAUCAUUAUCUAAAAAUAGAUUUCAUCAAUAACAGUACGUCAAACCAAGAAGGAUAUUUUUUCAUUGGCCUCGAAGCUUCAGAGUCUGGAGCAUCUUUCCGCCUCAGCUGCAGCUAUGAAGAAGAAACAUGGUGUGUCGGAUGUGGUGAUGUACCAGUGAUCGCGAAUGGAAAUAUAGAACUCAGCAAUGUGAACGAUUCCUCCUACGAAGCAGCAGCAAAUGUUAUCUGUGAUUCAGGUUAUGAAACAAAUACGUCUACUAUAAAUUGUCUUGCUAAUGGUACAUGGCCUGAUCCUGUUUGUACAGAGAAAGCCGCCUGUACAGAAAGUCAAUGGAGAUGUACUAAUGGAGACUGUGUAUUAGACAGUCAGAGAUGUGAUAAUAUUCCCGACUGCACGGACCAGUCUGAUGAAGUCAACUGUGAUGCUCCAGUCUGUCCAGAAGGUCUAGAGUUUUGCCCCCAUGAUAACGGAACCGACGUUUGUGUCGACAAAGCAGUUGGAUGUAACUGUGGCACAGUUCCGUCGAUACCAAAUGGAGUAAUUAUAAUUGAAGACAAUUCAACAAUUGGGUCCGUGGCUAACGUUACAUGUAAUGAAGGUUACAUUCCGAGUAAACAAACUGUUACAUGUCUGACUACCGGUUCGUGGGAGACUGUGUCUUGCACUGCUAAAGCCUGUGGGACACUGCCAGCAAUUUCUUCAGGAAGAUACGAACUAGUCGGUUCCAGUACAACAUUUGGAGCUUCGGCAAGAGUCAUUUGUAGCACAGGGUACACAGCUGAUAAACAAAGUGUAAUUUGUCAGUCCACAGGGAUAUGGGAAUCCGCUGUCUGCACGUUGGCAGAUUGUGGAACAGUGCCGGACGUAGUCCAUGGUAUUGUAACUCUUAACAAUGACAACAAUACGACGUUUGCAGCUACUGCUUCUGUAGUAUGUGAAAAGGGAUAUCAACCAGCUAAAGUCUCAAUUACUUGCCAGGCUUCAGGAAUGUGGGAAACGCCGUUGUGUGAAACUACCGAUAACAGCACACCUUCAAACGGCGGGUCUAAGGAUGACAAACCUACAUUAAACCUUGUGCUUAUCAUCAUUAUUGUAAUUCUGUGCGUGCUAUUUCUUGUAUCCCUUGUACAAUUCGUAGUUAUGUGUUUUCUUCAGUGCCAGAUACAUAACAUACGCAAAACAGCAGCAGGAGAAGAUUCUGAAAUUUCUAAAAGGAUAUGUAUGACUGUUUUGGGGAGUGUUGCAGUUUUAGGAUUGAUACCUAUAUACAUUACCUGGAAGGUGUUUUACAGAGACGUGUAUCAAGUUAAUCAUAGCAAGCAAGAUAAGAAAGAUAAGGGUUCCAAGACGGCCUAUUCUAAUAACUCGUACAGUGAUGUAAGUUGGAGUAAAAAUAGGAUGAGAUCAGAUGAAGUCAAUGAAAACGAAAUAAGGUUGGAGCACCAAAAGACAGAAACAAACGAAAAGGCAAAUAGCAGCCAUACAGAGGAUAAUACAGGCGUACAGAAUCAAAGUUCCACAAUGAAAGCUGCCCCAUCCAUCGAGCAUGACGGAUAAUUGGACACAGACUAUAAUGCGACGAUACAUAUUUGACGUCAUAGAUGCAUGGCUGGCCAAUAAUUGGAUACCGUGCAUGUUUUUGAUUACUGUCAUAGGUCAUUUUUUUAUCGGCUUGUUAAAAGUUACUGAUAAAAUCAUAUGAGGCAGGCUUUAAAGGGUUAAUCAAACACAUACGAAUAAAUCCUAAAUGUUUUAGUUGUGCAAAAGAAAAGACGACUAAAAGGAAACAAAAUUCAAAUGCUCGGACGUGUCAGAUAUAUAGGAAAUUAACAGUAUUGAGCAAGGGGAAUUAGCGGAAAGGAAUUAAAUUGUAGUAGCUGUCAGUGUAAAUAAACGAGAAUUUAUUGCAUCGCGGAUUAUCAUUGCAUGGAGUCUUACUAUAUAUUGUGAAGACAACUAUGUAGGCAUAAAAUAUAUUUCUGCCUAUAUGUGAACAAUAUUAUUGUGCCUUUUACAUAUGAAGUUGCUUACUUUGCUAUAUUAAUGUCUUUGAAUGUUUGAUAGAUGCAUGUUUCAGUAAUUAUUUAUAUUUCACUCGAUAAAGUUGUUAUAAGUUAUGCUUACUACGUUCGAUAACUGCUUCCUGAACAUCUGACCAGUACUCGCUCGCCUCAAUUCGAACCUGCGACCUGCCUGGCGGGAGAUCCUCUUCACUUUUAUGCAGAAUGUUAUACCGUACUUACUGUUAUAUCGUAGUGGUCAUUUCUUCUAUGCCUGGAUUACCUUAAUAUUACCUUGAGUAAGAUAUGUACUGAUUACUGUACAUUUAUCAUGCAAUGUAAACUAAGCAAUUAAGCCUGUUUUCUGAAAUAUAUUUGUUACUUGAAUAAACGCCUGUUUCAAAGAUAUUUUGUUUUUUAGUCUUAACAUCUUAUCAAGGAAAGCAUAUAUUUGUAAAUGUAUUAUUUGCCUCAGUGCAAAUUUGCAUAUACAAUUCUUUUCGUGAUUCGGGCCUGUAAGCGCACAACCAACACAAAGUCUUGUCAGGAAGAAUAUAAUUAAAGACAUCUGAGAUUUUCUUUUGCUGUACACUUUUUUCUGUUUAUUUUUAAUUUACUCUUUGAUCAUUAUGUACCAUUUAAUACAACUGUGAUCUUACGGGCUAUAGAAACCUGGCAGCGUUCUGGAUUCAAAGUUGUAUUUUUGUAAAUGUCCUGAACAAAAAUGGCUACAAGUUACAACAUAACAUAAUAUUAUAUAUUUUUGAUUAAUUUGUUCAACACAAGUUUAUGUUUAUAUAUUUUUAAUGACAAAUCGUAUUAAAACUUUUCUAAACUAG
rnacentral:misc_RNA from 1 species